CUUUCAGGUGUGGACCGCACAACGGGGUGCACAGGAUUAGUUAAGCAAAGCAGGAACCCAGCUGGAAAAUUAAACGAGCCCUGGAUCUGCAAAGCAGGUCCCUUCGCGAGACCAAAGCCGUGAUCCCAACCUUAGCAACAUAAUUCUACUGGAGGUGAUGUACUCUAAAUAAAUAGAAAUAAAUCCAGCUCCGCUUUAAUAUUUAUUUCCUUUCCUUAGUUCCAAGUUUGAACAGUUAUAGUUUUGUUUUUUGGUUGUCUUAAAGGAAAGGCCUAAAAAUUAGUUAGGAUGGGUGUGAGGACUUGAAAAUUUGAACACAAAAAUAUCAUAUUCAAUAUCUGAUUAGUGACUCUUCCAUUGGGCAGCCUGGGUAUUUUCCAGGGGUUAUGUCACAGACCUACUGAAUGCAGCCACCCUUGAGACAUGCAGUGCUUCAAUCAAAAAAAAAAAAAAUUAAAUCCCUAAUUCCCAUAAGGACAUGUCAAUACACUUUAAAGUGUCUAUCAUAUCACCAUUCCAUAAUAUUCUAAAAUACAACUCUUUGUUGCUGGGUUGUAAGUGGCAGUUACAGUAAUAAAUAAAAUAUAAAUGUAUGCAAACAAGAAAGGAUGUAACUUUAUGAAAUUGAUGAGGUAUGCACUAAUUUUUGUAACUCUGUUUUUAGGUGUUGAUAUAUAUACUAAUCCAGAACAACCAUGUAGCAAGAGGAAUAAAAUGAAGUUCAGAAGUCUGUUUCGGGAAAUUUUGAAGCCCUUUAGAAAGAAAGAUUUCUACAUUUUGUUACAUGAAAUUCAUGCAAAUAUAUGUCAGGUGCCAGUGCUAUGGAGUUGUUGAAGAAUAAGCACAAUACCAUUUAUUACCACUUCUCAGUUGUAAAGAGGCUGUAACUCUGGUUGUCGAAAUAAAAUAAAAUGAAAUCUCCUAGAUGUGA
rnacentral:lncRNA from 1 species